rnacentral:miRNA from 1 species
AGGUGCAGGUGCAGGCGCAGC